rnacentral:ncRNA from 1 species
CUUGUAACAGAUCCGUCGAACGGGAAGUGGUGUUUCCAGUGGCGAACGGGUGAGUAACGCGUAAGAACCUGCCCUUGGGAGGGGAACAACAACUGGAAACGGUUGCUAAUACCCCGUAGGCUGAGGAGCAAAAGGAGAAAUUCGUCCAAGGAGGGGCUCGCGUCUGAUUAGCUAGUUGGUGAGGCAAUAACUUACCAAGGCGAUGAUCAGUAGCUGGUCCGAGAGGAUGAUCAGCCACACUGGGACUGAGACACAGCCCAGACUCCUACGGGAGGCAGCAGUGGGGAAUUUUCCGCAAUGGGCGAAAGCCUGACGGAGCAAUG